UACGAAGGGGGCAAGCGUUGUUCGGAAUUACUGGGCGUAAAGGGCGCGUAGGCGGCUUCGUCAGUCAGGUGUGAAAGCCCUGGGCUCAACCCGGGAACUGCAUUUGAUACUGAAGAGCUAGAGUGUGGUAGAGGAUAGUGGAAUUCCCGGUGUAGCGGUGAAAUGCGUAGAUAUCGGGAGGAACAUCAGUGGCGAAGGCGGCUAUCUGGACUAACACUGACACUGAGGCACGAAAGCGUGGGUAGCAAACAGG
rnacentral:rRNA from 1 species